CGACCGCUGGCGGCAUGCCUAACACAUGCAAGUCGAACGAGACCUUCGGGUCUAGUGGCGCACGGGUGCGUAACGCGUGGGAACCUGCCCUUAGGUUCGGAAUAACUCCCCGAAAGGGGUGCUAAUACCGGAUAAUGUCUUCGGGCCAAAGAUUUAUCGCCUUUGGAUGGGCCCGCGUUGGAUUAGCUAGUUGGUAGGGUAAAAGCCUACCAAGGCGACGAUCCAUAGCUGGUCUGAGAGGAUGAUCAGCCACACUGGGACUGAGACACGGCCCAGACUCCUACGGGAGGCAGCAGUGGGGAAUAUUGGACAAUGGGCGAAAGCCUGAUCCAGCAAUGCCGCGUGAGUGAUGAAGGCCUUAGGGUUGUAAAGCUCUUUUACCCGGGAUGAUAAUGACAGUACCGGGAGAAUAAGCUCCGGCUAACUCCGUG
rnacentral:rRNA from 1 species